UCCCCCCCCCAGGUGUGUAAGUACGACUUUGUGGAGGUGCGCAGCGGGCUGACGGCCGACUCCAAGCUGCACGGGAAGUUCUGCGGUGCGGCGCGGCCGGCCGUCAUCACGUCGCAGUACAACAACAUGCGCAUCGAGUUCAAGUCCGACAACACCGUGUCCAAGAAGGGCUUCAAGGCGCAUUUCUUCUCAGGUACAGCCCUGCACACGCAGCCCUGCAGCCCUGCAUCUCUGCAGCCCUGCAUCCACAUCCCUGCAUCUCUGCAGCCCUCCAUCCCUGCACCCACACAUCUCUGCAGCCCUGCAGCCCUGCAUCCUCAUCCCUGCAUCUUUGUAUCCCUGCAGCCCUGCACCCACACAGCCCUGCAGCCCUGCAGCUCUGCAUCCACACAUCUCUGUAGCCCUGCAGCCACGCAGCCCUGCAUCUCUGCAUCCACACAGCCAUGCAUCUCUGUAUCCCUGCAUCCACACAUCUCUGCAUCCCUGCAUCUCUGCAGCCCUGCAUCCACACAGCCCUGCACCCACAUAUCUCUGCGUCCCUGCAUCUCUGCAGCCCUGCAUCCACAUCCCUGUAUGCACAUCUCUGCAUCCACACAGCCCUGCAGCCCUGCAUCUCUGUGUCCCUACAGCCUUGCAUCCCUGCAUCUCUGCAGCCUUGCAUCCACACCCCUGCAUCCCUGCAUCCACACAUCUCUGUAUCCCUGCUUCUCUGCAGUCCCGCAUCCACAUCCCUGCAGCCCUGCAUCUGCCCAUCUCUGUAUCCCUGCAGCCCUGCACCCUGCAUCCACACACCCCUGCAUCUCUGCAGCAUUGCCAUCCCUGCACCCCCACAGCAACGCAUCCUUGCAUCCCUGCAGCAACACUUGUGCUGCUGCUGCGCUGGGGCUGCGUGCAUUUGGGAUGGGGGAGGGGAGGGGAGGCGGGGUUGGGUUUUGCAUCGCUGCCACUGCUGUGCUGCUGCUGCACUGCUGCUGGGUGCUGCAUUGCUCCCGGGCGCUGCAUUGCUGCUGGUGCUGCACUGCUGCUGGGCGCUGCACUUCUCCUCUGCUGCUGCACCCUCUGUGCUCCCCCCACCUCACUGUCUGUCCCAUCCCCCUCCCCUGGGCUCACCCCAUAGGGUUGUAGGGUCGCCCCAUAGGGUUGUAGGGUCGCCCCAUAGGGUUGUAGGGUCGCCCCAUAGGGUUGUAGGGUCGCCCCAUAGGGUUGUAGGGUCGCCCCAUAGGGUUGUAGGGCCAUGGGGGGGCAAUGUGGGGGUCGGGAGAUGCGGAGCAGAGGCAGCAAGGCAGCAGCACGCCGCAGGUUUGGGGUUUGGGGUCCCCCCCCCCUUUUUGGGUUGAACCCCGC
rnacentral:lncRNA from 1 species